UCUUCCUAUCUAAAUUGCAAAUUUUGCUAAGUCGUUUUGUUUAUACGACAAAUCGUUUGAGUUAAUAAUCCUUGAGAUCCUUUUUGAUUUUUGAACUUGUUUGCAGAAUCAACGACCCGUAGUUUUACGAACGCGGUCAAACACACACACUGCAUUUUGCAGAGCCCGUUCACCGCCACCUUCAACCAAUUUUAUCACUCCUCUGCAAUUCCUCGCUGCUGUGCUUCUUUUAUCGUCGGUACAACGGAGGAGAGGCCAGAAUUUGUGAAUGCCUCCAGCUUGCAAUCAAAAGAAGCAGUUCUAUCGGGGAAGAUCCUCUGUUCAAUCGGAAUUCAAUUUGGCUUGGGGUGGAGAAAAUGGAAAACCAAAUUGAAAUAAUGGGUGUUGAUGUAAACUCCUCUUCUUAUUUCCUUACUGUUGCUCCACAUAAUUGGAUUGAAGAAGAUGCAACUGGAUCAGAGAAUAGCUGCCAUGGCAUGCUGCUGCUACUCCCAAGGUAAUCUGGUGACUGUGAUUCUCUUAUAACCUUUUUCUUUCCAAUGUUUAUUCUGUGUGUUUUGUGGCCCUAGCUUCUGUUAUGGGCUUGUUAUUGCAUUAAUGAUCUCAUCCAAUCUUUUUUGUUGAUGGUUUCCUUGGAAGUACAUUCCUGGCAUUGAAUAUGUUGGUUAACAAUCACUUCUUCCUUGAAUAAAUAUAUAUUGUAUAACUGAGAAUGUUCUGCAGUUUUUGUUCUA